AAUAGAUACCCGGGUAGUCCACGCCGUAAACGAUGAGUGCUAAGUGUUAGGAGGGUUUCCGCCCUUUAGUGCUGCAGCUAACGCAUUAAGCACUCCGCCUGGGGAGUACGGUCGCAAGACUGAAACUCAAAGGAAUUGUCGGGGGCCCGCACAAGCGGUGGAGCAUGUGGUUUAAUUCGAAGCAACGCGAAGAACCUUACCAGGUCUUGACAUCCUCUGACAACUCUAGAGAUAGAGCGUUCCCCUUCGGGGGACAGAGUGACAGGUGGUGCAUGGUUGUCGUCAGCUCGUGUCGUGAGAUUGUUGGGUUAAGUCCCGCAACGAGCGCAACCCUUGAUCUUAGUUGCCAGCAUUUAGUUGGGCACUCUAAGGUGACUGCCGGUGACAAACCGGAGGAAGGUGGGGAUGACGUCAAAUCAUCAUGCCCCUUAUGACCUGGGCUACACACGUGCUACAAUGGAUGGUACAAAGGGCUGCAAGACCGCGAGGUCAAGCCAAUCCCAUAAAACCAUUCUCAGUUCGGAUUGUAGG
rnacentral:rRNA from 1 species